rnacentral:piRNA from 1 species
UGGACAGGAACCUCAAAGGUGUCAUUGGC